rnacentral:rRNA from 1 species
UACGAAGGGGGCUAGCGUUGCUCGGAAUUACUGGGCGUAAAGCGCACGUAGGCGGCUUCUUAAGUCGGUGGUGAAAUCCUGGAGCUCAACUCCAGAACUGCCUUCGAUACUGGGAAGCUCGAGUCCGGGAGAGGUGAGUGGAACUGCGAGUGUAGAGGUGAAAUUCGUAGAUAUUCGCAAGAACACCAGUGGCGAAGGCGGCUCACUGGCCCGGUACUGACGCCGAGGUGCGAAAGCGUGGGGAGCAAACAGG